UACGGAGGGUGCAAGCGUUGUUCGGAAUUACUGGGCGUAAAGGGCGUGUAGGCGGUAUGGUAAGUCAGAUGUGAAAGCCCUGGGCUUAACCCAGGAAGUGCAUUUGAAACUGCCAUGCUUGAGUAUGGGAGAGGAGAGUGGAAUUCCCAGUGUAGAGGUGAAAUUCGUAGAUAUUGGGAGGAACACCCGUGGCGAAGGCGACUCUCUGGACCAAUACUGACGCUGAGGCGCGAAAGCGUGGGGAGCAACCAGG
rnacentral:rRNA from 1 species